rnacentral:rRNA from 1 species
GAUGAACGCUGGCGGCGUGCCUAAUACAUGCAAGUAGAACGCUGAAGGAGGAGCUUGCUCUUCUGGAUGAGUUGCGAACGGGUGAGUAACGCGUAGGUAACCUGCCUGGUAGCGGGGGGUAACUAUUGGAAACGAUAGCUAAUACCGCAUGACAACAGUUAUUGCAUGAUAACUGUUUAAAAGGGGCAACUGCUCCACUACCAGAUGGACCUGCGUUGUAUUAGCUAGUUGGUGAGGUAACGGCUCACCAAGGCGACGAUACAUAGCCGACCUGAGAGGGGGAUCGGCCACACUGGGACUGAGACACGGCCCAGACUCCUACGGGAGGCAGCAGUAGGGAAUCUUCGGCAAUGGACGGAAGUCUGACCGAGCAACGCCGCGUGAGUGAAGAAGGUUUUCGGAUCGUAAAGCUCUGUUGUAAGAGAAGAACGAGUGUGAGAGUGGAAAGUUCACACUGUGACGGUAUCUUACCAGAAAGGGACGGCUAACUACGUG